rnacentral:misc_RNA from 1 species
UCGAAGAGUUCUGCAAAGGGCAGAGAAAAGCAAAAGAAAUUUUCUGCAUUCAGAAGAAGAAAAGGUGGCCGCUUUAAAAUGAUAACAUUAGAGACUGACAAGGGCAUAUGCUUGGUUCAGACUCGUAAAAAAUACCCCCAAACAGCAUCAUUAUUGUAGACAACCAAAGUGGUUCUAUGUUAGUGGUGGGAUUGGGGCUGCAUAAUGUUUGUUUCAAAAGAUGCCAAGCUUUGGUGUUAAGGUGCUUGGAAGCAGUAGCAAGUGUUGCCAAGCAGAUGUAGGAUAAGUGCAAGUGACUAAAGAAAAUUUGGACAAAGCUUGGAAUUGGAGGAACGUCACUAUAAAGUUGGUCCUUUUUGUUGGUCAUGGACCCAUGCUUCCAAUAUUCUCACCCUGUACCCAUUUUUAAUCAAAGUAACUGUUAUUUUUGUAACUUGAAUUUUGGAUAUAUUUUUUAUGGACUGGAAUUGUGACUCGACUCGAAAGUUUCGCGCUGCAACUCGAUUAGGAUAAAAAGUAAGAUCUGUGGUGAUAGAGAAGGGCACGGGCCGAUAGGCUUGGGCCCGAAGCCCACCACUGAUCUUCUUGGGGGUGCGGGGGUAACGCCCCCUCGGUAUGAACCAUUAUAAAUAUUUUAAUAUUCUACCCUUUACGGUAGAGUUGUGAGAUAUUCGGG